CGUGUAGGCGGGACUGCAAGUCAGAUGUGAAAACUAUGGGCUCAACCCAUAGCCUGCAUUUGAAACUAUGUAGCUAGAGUUCUGUAGAGGGGGGUAGAAUUCCAGGUGUAGCGGUGAAAUGCGUAGAGAUCUGGAGGAAUACCGAUUGCGAAGGCAGCCCCCUGGACAGUGACUGACGCUCAUAUGCGAAAGCGUGGGGAUCAAACAGGAUUAGAUACCCGCGUA
rnacentral:rRNA from 1 species